AUUAUCCACUGUGGUUCGAGUAUUUGCUAAAUUCAUCACUGGUUUAUGCCUUUGCUAAAAUUUGGUUUAAUUUGAGACUCAUUUUCUUAUGGCAAAAUUCAAAGUUAAUUCGCUGAGCAUCAUUUUGUCUACAAAUUCGCUAACAUUUCACAUGACCGUUUGUCUUUAAGCUGAAUUCACACUCAUUCCAUUUUGACUCCGUUUUCCUUGACAGAUGUAUUUGAACAAUAGAAAAGAGACGUGAUUUAUGUAAACGGAGGCAAAACGGAGUGACUGUGAAUUCAACCUAAAGAC